GAGAGCUUGCUUUUGAUUAUUUUAGCGGCGGACGGGUGAGUAACGUGUGGGUAACCUGCCUUUUACUGUGGAAUAAUCGUUGGAAACGACGACUAAUACCGCAUACGGUUCUUGGAAGGCAUCUUCUAAGAAAGAAAGGAUUUAUUCGGUAAAAGAUGGGCCCGCAUCUGAUUAGCUAGUUGGUGAGAUAAUAGCCCACCAAGGCAACGAUCAGUAGCCGACCUGAGAGGGUGACCGGCCACAUUGGGACUGAGACACGGCCCAAACUCCUACGGGAGGCAGCAGUGGGGAAUAUUGCACAAUGGGCGAAAGCCUGAUGCAGCAACGCCGCGUGAAGGAAGACGGUUUUCGGAUUGUAAACUUCUAUCAAUAGGGAAGAAAGAAAUGACGGUACCUAAAUAAGAAGCCCCGGCUAACUACGUGCCAGCAGCCGCGGUAAUACGUAGGGGGCAAGCGUUAUCCGGAAUUACUGGGUGUAAAGGGAGAGUAGGCGGCAAGGUAAGCGAUAUGUGAAAGCCUUAGGCUUAACCAAAGGUUUGCAUAACGAACUAUCUAGCUAGAGUACAGGAGAGGAAAGCGGAAUUCCUAGUGUAGCGGUGAAAUGCGUAGAUAUUAGGAAGAACACCAGUGGCGAAGGCGGCUUUCUGGACUGAAACUGACGCUGAGGCUCGAAAGCGUGGGGAGCGAACAGGAUUAGAUACCCUGGUAGUCCACGCUGUAAACGAUGAGUGCUAGGUGUCGGGGAGGAAUUCCCGGUGCCGGAGCAAACGCAAUAAGCACUCCACCUGGGGAGUACGACCGCAAGGUUGAAACUCAAAGGAAUUGACGGGGGCCCGCACAAGCGGUGGAGCAUGUGGUUUAAUUCGAAGCAACGCGAAGAACCUUACCAAGGC
rnacentral:rRNA from 1 species